GGGUACUACAGUGGAUGUGAGUGUGUAGACCUUGUACAAUAGAGCUUAUAGGCUAAUGAGAAGACAGGAAGAAACAACAGGAACACAUAUAGCUGGAAUGCAGAUGGGAUCUGUGCUACUUACGCUAGCCAUGGGAUGAUUAGAACAAGAUAAGAGACAUGAGGAAGACUUCUUCAAGGAGGUGCUCAAGCCAUGUUUUGGAAAAGAGAACUCAAGGUCUGGCAGGGAGAAAGGAGCAAGACUGCCUGGCAGCUCUUUAGAAAGUUGUGUGACGUAUGAACCAGUUCUUCCCUAUAUGAGAGUGUACCGUACAUCGCAGGCUGUCCAGCAUCGACCCCACUGAUGGAUGCUAGUAGUCCUCCCCGCCAGCACUCAACAUUGUGACAGUCAAAAACAUCCUCUCUACAUUUUCAAUGCCCCUGUUGGGGUAGCAGGACUCCCACUGAGAGACCCCAGUAGAGAUGGUAAGUGGAGGCAGAGCAGCACCUCUCACACUUCCAUGUGCCCUU
rnacentral:lncRNA from 1 species